rnacentral:rRNA from 1 species
CCCUACGGGGCGCAGCAGGCGCGAAAACUCUACAAUGCAGGCAACUGCGAUAGGGGAACAUCGAGUGGUCCUCAUAUUGGGGGCCUGUCCCCCCGCCUAAAAAGCGGGGGUUAGCAAGGGCCGGGCAAGACCGGUGCCAGCCGCCGCGGUAAUACCGGCGGCUCGAGUGGUGGCCGAUAUUAUUGAGUCUAAAGGGUCCGUAGCCGGCUUCGCAAGUCUCUCGGGAAAUCCAGCGGCUUAACCGUUGGUCGUCCGGGGGGUACUGCGUUGCUUGGGACUGGGAGAGGUAGGAGGUACUCAGGGGGUAGGAGUGAAAUCCUGUAAUCC